UUGAAACGCUGUCGCGCUUGGCCAAACCGCAUAUCCCAGUUCCAUUGGUGGGACACUUGUUCCGCUAAUGGUAGUGUGCUUGGCUAGAUACUGUGCAGCUUUUAAGAGGCUAUCAUGGCAGCGUCUGGCGUCGAGUCAGGCCUCACUUUGGCGACAAGGCAAUUUAGUUGGUACAGUGCCUUGAGACUCUCCUUAUUUCGUCUAGUUCUCAAUGGACAAUGAAGAGUACAAGAUUUGAUGGUACCCCGAGAGUCAGCUACAGCAGACGACGUCAAAGAAAGUCAUGCAUCCGAAGAAACGAGAUUAAACCCAACAUUCUUUUGGUUAAUGGAUUUGGUUGAGAGACAAUUGAGAUUCUAGAAAUAGUAGAGCUAAUUAGCGGAAGGCGCCGGAUAAAUUGGUCGAUGCAAAGCAAAGGAUGUAAUAUCAAAUUUAGAACAUUUUGGUGGAUUCAUGUUUGUAAUUUCGACAUUGAUGCCCCUUUUGGGUUUAUGAAUAUAUAUAUAGUUAAAAAAGCAGUGGAACAUCGUCUAUAACAGGUUUAGACGAACGUGAAAACAACUGUAGAUUGAGCUUAGAAUGAUUAUUUAAAAAUCAUUAAUUAUAAAUAAUUAAGCGGCAUCUAAAUAGUUGAUUUGUCAAGAGUAUUGUUAACAUCAAUUGAUUGUAUAAAGAGAGAUGCACUCACUGAACCAUAAGUUAUAUUGUUAACAUUGGUUGAUUUUAUAAUUAAAUUAGAUAAAACACAACUAUAAAAUAUAUCAAAUGACAAAUAAGUUGUAUUAUUAUAAAUGUUUACUUAAUAAUUCAAUAGAAAUAUGGCAAAAUACCAUAUAGAAAUAUAAAAAAUCAUAAACCAUUCUUAAUUCAUAAAAUUAAAAAACACUCACACGGAUGUACGGGGUCAAAUUCUAGUUAUGUUUUUUCUUUGUCAAACCGAAAUUGCACAAUGUUAUUAUAUAGUUGUCUGUAGGGUACUUUAAUUGUGUAGUUGCAACUGCCUCAACUAUGGAGUAGUGGGAGAAACAUCAUUUUACCAUUUCAAUCAACACCUAACACUUUAAAUAAUAAAAUUCGAUUAAGUAACAUCUUUAGAAUUGAAACUAAGAACAUGAGUAGUGGAGGUUCUUAGAGUGUGGUUUUUAGCGGAAUAUAAGAAUCUAUUUUUUAAUUUUUAACUAAAAAAAUUAAGAACCGGCUCUUAAAACUCUUAUUUAAGAACCGGCUCUUAGCUUUUUUAGUUAAAAGUUAAGAAAUUGGUUCUUAUAUUCCGAUAUGAACCCCCAACGAUCAUGCUCUAACUCACUUGUUCGCCACGUUAAAACUACGUGGUAUUUUUUAUUAGCCGGUAAAAAUGGAUAAAGUAGAAAUUAUUUAAAUUUUUUUUUAUUAUUUCAAUUAAUAAAUCUAAUAUAUAACUAUUUUUUGCCCUUUUUAUUUCUUAUUUGUUUGUGGCAUCCUAAUGACCGGCUUUAUGUACAAGAGUGUCUUUUUCCAUUGAUUAGUAAAAUAUUAACAUAAAUAUCAUAAUUACUAUUAUCUAAUCAACAGUUUUUAGAAAAAAAUUUACAAAAACAUUUUUUUUGUCAUCAAUUUAUAAAAACAUUUACAAAAUGCUAAUGCGUUUUAAAUGUUUUUUUUCUCAAUGUUUUCAAAUGAAAUUUUUGGUAAAAUAUGUGCAUAUAAAAAAGAUAAAAUUAAAAAUAAUUGUAUAUAAUUUAUUUAUUUUAUUAAAUAAUAUUAAAAUUUUAUGUUUGGAGCCAAAAGAGAAGGCAUCUAAUGUUUUUCUCUGCUACCACACGAACGUUACAUACUCAUCAUCUCACAUUCAUUUUUUUCUUUCUUAAAUUUUAGUGUUUGGAAUGUGAAAUAGUGAAAGUAGAUACAGUUUCACAAGUUGAAUUUAUUAUUAAGAUAAGACAGUUUAAAGUAAAUGAAAGCAAAUAAAUGUAUCAUGACCAGAAAAAAACACAAUAAAAAGGUUCAGAAUUUAUGGACUAAUAGAUAAGAAAAAGUGGCACAUGGGUAGUGGAUGGACUCUAACUUUUCAAUCACUAAUAAGUCAAUUUUUAAAAUGGUUAACUACAAUAAUAGACUUCCAGAACUAAAAAUAUUAUUUAUAAUGUCAUUAUUAUAAAAAGAAUGAACUUUUUAAUCUUAAUAAUAUUUUAAUUAAUUUUAGUUUAUAAUUUGAGUGUCAAGACCUUUGCUUGUUAUCUCUUUUCUCACUCUUUGCAAUACUCUCCGAAAAAUGUAGACUAGAAGAUUGUCUACCUUCUGGAUUCCGAGAAGAACUGUAGUAUGGGCGGUGCAGGUAGUGAGUGUUAACGAUGCUUUGACUGAAAUUCUGAGAAAAGAACCGCGUCUCCCUAAAGCAAUCUGUGGUAGUGUUAACUCUAUCAGUUUUAAGGGCACCUUCCCGACCACUGCCACUGGUAAAAAACCGGUGAAUCCGGCUGGUUUUGACAAGUGAGAUCGUCCCCUGAGGAAGGCUAAAACCGAAUGCACAUACCCAAGGCCGAGUCGUUGAGUGGCGUUGUGGGGACAAUGCCUUUCUACUAGAGGUUUACCCAUGCUAAGGAUUUUCCAAUUACUGAAGAUCUGAACAGUGUUUCUCAUCUAAUGAGGCAUUUCAAGCUGGCGGAGUGUCUUCUUCCAUCUCUCUGUAACAUGGCCGAGCGCGACGCUUAUUUGAGAAUAGCGGUUUAGCGCCAAUGGAGCAGUGAGAAAAUAGACAGUCUCACCACAACUCGAUUUUUGGUACCGAGAAGAAUUGGGUUAUGUAAGCAUUUUGUUUAGGCGGGAUAAAGCUUUCCUAGCACUUUUUCACUAUAAGACGAUAAAUACGAUUAUAAAACAUUGAACUAUAUAUUGUGUUCAAUAAAACUCUCUUUUAUUUCUUCUUUGUCACACCUCUAGUUCUCAGGUUCAUGAAAAUCUUGAAGUCCAUAAACAUAAGAAAAAGAAAAGGCUUUAGUCGGUGACAUGUACUGGCCAGCAGGGAUUGGUAAUUUGAGUUGAUCAGACGCAAAUGACGAUGGGACCACAACGUGCAUCGGCCACCAUGUAUUUUUGGUCCAACUAACUGGUUGAUUUGAAGCUGAUAUUAACGAAUACACCAUACGGCCAAAUAAUCGAGACAUUGCUGCAUCUCUUGUUUUCCAACGCCGCUAUCGGCAUCGCCUCUUCUCAUCUCCCUUCAUGCUCUCCUCAAAUAUGUUAGCUCGUGCUUUGUGUUUCUUUUCAUUGUCUCGUAGAUUUUUUUCUUUGGUUUAGUAUAGGCAAUGGAGGGUUUGGAGCGAACUGGUGUUCCUAUUCUUCCGAUUGUGAAACCUUCAUCUGCAAUGGAGGUUCUGGUCUCCUCUAUAUAUCGAGUUCAAGCUUCUGGAUCUGAAACUGUCUCUGUAACUAACCAGCAAAUCAUUGGAAAAUCCAGCGCUUGCUAUCAUUGUCCUUCUCUUAUGAAUAACAAACAACUCGUCGUUCCAUCAGACGGCGACAUCUCAUCCUCCUCCCCGGAGUUGAUACAUGUAAACCAGUUCACUUAGUCGUAACAAUUCGUAGUAAAAUAGUUGUUAAUUACACUGAAACUAUACUAUGAAUUAUCAUGAUAAUCGAGUGUUAUAACCAAUUAACACCGCACACGUUAUUCAAUAAUUAUUAUUAAAAUAUAAAAUUAAUAUAAAUAAAAAAUAUUUAAAACAUGAAAUAUGUGAAAUAUGAGAAACAUAAAAGUUGAAGAUAAAAAAUAAAAUUAAUUAAGUACUAAUAAGUCUAAGGUCUUCAUAUAGCUCGAAACUGAAUUGAUAGGUGAGUCGAUCAAAUUCCGGAUGCUCCUUUGCAGUGCAUUGGUGUUGAAUGGUUUGGUGUCUCAACUCUCACACCCGCCCAGUCUCCGGGUUUUCCGAUGCUAGCAUAACUUCGAACAACCCUCCAUAUAUUCUCCAACCGAGUCCUGGUGUCCUAUUGUUCAUCCUGAAGUUGUGCAAUAAUGUUGUUGGCCAUCGUCAAAUCUGCACGCAGCUGAGAAUCUUUUAGUCUCGCAACAGAAUAGGUGGAUGUCACCUUUGGAACAUAGUUGACCGAACCAGAACCAACGCUAAUCAUCUGUCUUGUUUUCUUUGGGACAACAUUUAAUAGAAUUUGAAAAUUUAAUUAGUUAAUAAUAACUAAUUAUUAUUACUAAAAAUUAAAUAUCUGAAAAUAAUAAUUAUUUUUUACCUAAUCAAAAAUCUUGUCCACCUAUUGCGUGGAAAGCUAGACGGGUGUGCCAUCCGGAGUUUGUUGCGUCAACCGGAUCUGACGCUCUUCGACCCAAACCACCACUUCGUUGUGGAUCCUCUCUGAUCUAGGAUCCAAAAAUUGUCGGAAUGCGUUUAGUGUGCCUCUCUGAAGGUCGGAAAAGAGACGGUAGUUCUCCUUCCCAAGUGGCCUAAAAAAAUAAAAAUAUUAGAAAUAUAGAUACUCAUUAAUAUAUCUUAUACAAUAAAGUAGACUAUGUUCUCUCCUCUUUCAUCCACGUCCUCAAAGAAAGUGGGGCAAAUCUCGACACAUGUCGACAUUCUAAGCACUCUGCGAUUUUUUAUUUCGGCUGUUACGUAAACGAUUGUUUGAGAGUUGGGCUUUUAUCUAAAUGAAUAUGUUAGGCUCGUAAUUUAGUCCAUUUAGAGACCUAAUCGGAUUUAGAAAUUAGGUUUGGUCGUCGUCUUCCUGUUUCACAUGCGGCCGCGACGAUGUGAUUCACCAUCUGAAAGCGUCGAUUCCGAACUCUGUAACGUUGCUCAUCGAUGAAAACGUAAGAUCCAUUGUCUCAUACUAACCCUCUAAUAUCCAUUUUGUUAUACUUUUUUCCAAUAACAUUACACCAUCUGACUUUGUGAAAUCGAUUGUGUGCAGGGAUACAACUGUCUGUGUUAGUCUGUUUGACUGUUUGGCUCUUGCUUUCCAUAGCAAGCUCGAUGGGUACAGGAGGGAGCCAAGAUUUGUUCUUGCCACCGGCAUCAAUCCUAAGAUGGUUGCGGUAAGAGAUAUUUGAAUUCAAACAUAUAGUUGCCUAAACCAUUUGUUCGAUUCACAAUAUCUUAUGAAACUCCCUAAUUGUUAUGGCAGGGAAAUUAUAUCUAAAUGGGACUUAUGCAGCACAUAUUUACUUCUAAUAUGAGACUGCUGUAGGAAAAGCUGAGAUUGACAGGCGAGACAUUCUCCUUUGUAAAUUGAUUCUCUCUUUCUCACCAGUGAACCAUCAAUGUAAGUUUCCGACAUCUCACUGUGAACUUUCGAAACUUAGAUGCGUGUGGGUGUUCUUGAUUCAGCUCAUCAACAAGUGGGUUCCUUUGGGGUUUCUCAAAUAUCGGUUCUUUUUUGGGGAUUUUACUACCAUUCUCUUUACUUCAAAGUUGGCUUCUUUUUUGUGUUUGCAGGGAGAUUGUUUUGGAACCUCCUUGUCCGAGAAGGGUCGAUGGGAUUAGCAUUGACCCUGAGCCUAACUGGAACUUUGAUAGCUUACUCUCUGAAAUCGAGUCUGUUGAGAAGAAUCUCAAUGUAUUUUCAAAGUUUCCUCAGCCUUUCACUCAGACAACCUUACGGUAUAUCUCUCUCUCUCUCUCUCUCUCUCUCUCUGUCUUUUGAUUCAGUGUUUUAGCUCUUUAUUGAGUUGUGCAUUGGUCUAUGAUUUGUUUAGUUUAAUAUUUAGAAAGUAGAGAACAGCUUCUCGUGUUUUUUACAUUGGCGUGUUUAAAAAGGAUGGGAAGGAGAGGUGGAGGUUUUGUAAUGCGUGUAUCAGAAGAUGAGAUGUAAAGUGAUGUAGAUGAAGAGAGUGAUGAAGAAGAAGAAGAAAAAAGAUCAUAGCCAAAUCUGUACGAAAGGGAAACAUUUUGCUUGUGAUGAGCUAUACUUGAGGUGAUUGCCACCAACUCUCGCUUUUUUCUUUCAAAAUUGUGGAUGACUUCUUCAGUGUUAUUCUAUGAUUUUUUAAUCAGUUAGUUUUUGUGCAUAUAAUGAUGAAUCUGAUGAUGAGUUUGACUGUGAACCCGAGUCCUUUCUGUUGAGUAAGAUGGGUUUUGCUGAGAGUGCACUAUAUGAGGUGAUCAACGACCACCAAACCGAAGUUAAGGAAGAUAUUAAGAGUCAAGUAUCAGUUGCUGAAACAGAAAUGUUGCAAGAGAUUGAAACCUUUCGCUCUGCAAUAGCCCGGGUUGAAAAGUAUAAAGAAACUAGAAAAGAAGUGGAGCGUAAACUUGACCUUCAGUACCAGCGAAAAGUGUAAGCUAUGGUUCAUAUGCUGCGAUUGUUUUUUCCUUCGUGUUUUGGAAAGUAAUUUGUGGGUUCAUCAAAAUAAAAUAUGUCAUUGUUUCCUUUGCUUUGUAAAGACAAACUGGAUUUUACAUUUUUUCUAUCAUGAAUAAAAAAUAUUAUUACUUUA